UUCUCAGUAAAAUACCUGACACACUGCAGAUUAAUGGCAGAGGACUGGACUGGGUAAUGCAAGUCACAUAAGACACAUAAGGCCAUAAUUCUUCAUCCACCAGUCAAGCUUCAGGUGAAGCAAACUUGAAGAAAUGUCACAACCAACUUCAUACCCAAAUGGAUCCAUCACGGGAAAAAUUCCUGUCCCACGGCUAUGGGUUGUCAGUUCCCAUCUAUCCAGCCACUGUGAUGGGCUCUCUGUGGAGUGGAUGAUCAGGCUCUGGGCAGAACCCGAAGAGACUUAGCUCACAGCAGCCAAGAAACCAACCAGCAAGCAUGUGAUCAGUCCUGUGUGCAAAUGGCUCUGAAGACACAGAGGAGAUGAGGGACGCUCUGUGACAGUGCAGCUGUGCGACUACUCUGUUCAAUUCUGAGUCACAAGGACGACGACUGUAACAAAAUGAUAUUUUCAAAUGGCCAAAAUGAGCAUAUGGGUAAACAAAACAGAAAAGUCAACAGAUUGUUCAAGUACAGUACAGUUUACACAAAUUGAUUUUUAUGUAAACAAACUAAAAAUACAAAAACUUGCUCUUGAU